ACUCCUACGGGAGGCAGCAGUCGAGAAUAGUCUACAAUGGUCGAAAGACUGAUAGUGCGGCGCCGCGUGAACGAAGAAGCCCUUCGGGGUGUAAAGUUCUUUUAUAUGUGAGCAGUGCUCUUUAUGUGAACAGCAUGGGGAGAGAGAUAUUAGCAUAUGAGUAAGCAACGGCUAACUCCGUGCCAGCAGCCGCGGUAACACGGGGGUUGCGAGCGUUGUCCGGAAUUACUAGGCGUAAAGGGCAGGUAGGCGGAUCCAUAAGUUUAAUGUUUAAGGCAACGGCUCACCCGUUGUAAGGCAUUAGAUACUGUGGAUCUGGAAUGCGGUUGGGGAAGACAGAAUUCCUGGUGUAGCGGUGGAAUGCGCAGAGAUCAGGAGGAAUACCGAAGGCGAAGGCAGUCUUCCAAGCCGUUAUUGACGCUAAACUGCGAAGGUGUGGGUAUCAAACAGGAUUAGAUACCCUGGUAGUC
rnacentral:rRNA from 1 species